UUCUAUAAAGCAUCGUUCCGCUCGCCCUCCUUUCUGCCAAUUCCCCGUGGGACUAUGUUCCCCCUUUCGCCCAGACUCCCCCCCCCUCAUCGCCAUGGCCCGUUCUACACCUAUUAUCACCUACGGACCUUGCUACCACAAAAUUCACCAUCUUCCCUACCUUUUCCAUCCCUCGACCUCCUCCGGCAUCUGGCCGGCCGCCGGCAUCCCUCGGCUUCCUUAGGUGCUCUCUUGCAUCGUCGCCUCCCGUAAUAGAUCCAGAUACGAGCAUCCUCAUUUUAGGUAGUUGACACCUAAAGGUUCUAUCAUUCAAUGAACCUCAUCGCCAUGCUCCAGUAUCCCCUCCUCGUGCGAUUCCACCUUCGCCAUCUCCACCCUCAGUUCUAGCACCGAAAUUAUGAAUCCAAGACCAGAAUACCGCUCUCGAAGUGAGUCGACCUACAUAGAUCUUGAUGUGAAUUUGAUGGCGAGAAUAGGUAAUCGAAUUUCCUCUUCAUGAAUAGUUAAGCAUCUACCAUCCCUCGAUCUCCUUUGGUUCUCUCUUGCAUCGCCACCUUCCAUCAUAGAUCCAGGUAUAGCAACAUACCACACUUAGCGUAGCUGACACCCAUAAGUUUCUAUUAUUCGCUCAUAGCACCUGUUGACCGCAUGAUACUAUGUUUCUCACAUCCACAACCUCGCUUCUAGCCACCGAGAACCUAGAUCCCCUAGUUGCCAUAACAUUAGGAGUAGGCUGACCUAUGCAGAUCUGGAUGUGGAUCCGGUGAGAACUCAUAUCCGACAUUCCCCUUCGGCAACAUUUUUUUAUCUCCCAUUAAUUCUUUACCAUAUCAAAAAUUCCCUUGGUCGCUAUAGCAUUAGGAGUCGGCUGACCUACGCAGAUCUGGAUGUGGAUCCGGUGAGAACUCAUAUCCGACUCCCCCCUUCGGCAAUAGAUUAAGAUGUGGAUCCGGUGAGAACUCAUAUCCGAUUUUCCCCUUCGGUAACAGAUCUGGAUGUGGAUUCGGUGAGAACUCGUAUUCCGACUUUCCCCUUCGGCACCAGGUGGUGGCCGGAGCUGAGGGCGCCGAGGAUUUCAUCCCCAUGAACAGGUGGCUCAGGAUGGUGGACCUGCCUGGCAGGAUCGCCUUCAUGAGCCUGCCUCGUUCAAGGGGACGAUCUCCGAGGCAGGGCCACGAGGAGGGGGCCCGGGAGCCGCUGCGCUUCUACCAGCAGAUCAAAGACAACGAGGACCUCACCAUGCUCGUCGUCCCUCACAAGUUCGUGGAGGUGAUGAACACCUAGUUGGUCAUCAAGCGGCUCCCGCGCGUGGUCAGGCCGUCGGCGAACAAGCGGUGCAUGUUCUGGGACAAAUCAAACAAUUCAGCAUCGAUGCCUACCUCGCCCCCUAUAUUGUCUUCCACUGAGGGCGAGUCCAUGGCCGUUGUCGUGGCCCCGGUGUUGAAGAGCAUGCCUGAACUUAGGGAGCUUUGUAUGAGUCUGUUAGUGAAGAAUAU